rnacentral:rRNA from 1 species
UGCAAGUCGAGCGGAUGAAGGGAGCUUGCUCCUGGAUUCAGCGGCGGACGGGUGAGUAAUGCCUAGGAAUCUGCCUGGUAGUGGGGGACAACGUUUCGAAAGGAACGCUAAUACCGCAUACGUCCUACGGGAGAAAGCAGGGGACCUUCGGGCCUUGCGCUAUCAGAUGAGCCUAGGUCGGAUUAGCUAGUUGGUGAGGUAAUGGCUCACCAAGGCGACGAUCCGUAACUGGUCUGAGAGGAUGAUCAGUCACACUGGAACUGAGACACGGUCCAGACUCCUACGGGAGGCAGCAGUGGGGAAUAUUGGACAAUGGGCGAAAGCCUGAUCCAGCCAUGCCGCGUGUGUGAAAAAGGUCUUUCGGAUU